UACGAAGGGGGCUAGCGUUGCUCGGAAUCACUGGGCGUAAAGCGCACGUAGGCGGAUUGUUAAGUCAGGGGUGAAAUCCUGGAGCUCAACUCCAGAACUGCCUUUGAUACUGACGGUCUUGAGUCCGGGAGAGGUGAGUGGAACUCCGAGUGUAGAGGUGAAAUUCGUAGAUAUUCGCAAGAACACCAGUGGCGAAGGCGGCUCACUGGCCCGGUACUGACGCUGAGGUGCGAAAGCGUGGGGAGCAAACAGG
rnacentral:rRNA from 1 species